UUACGCCAAUCCUGUCACGGUCCGGGCAACCCCCGGUGAAAAGGGAACGCGGUGCAAAUCCGCGACUGCCCCCGCAACUGUUAACGGCGAGCGUGUUCGGCACAUGCCACUGGGAAACCGGGAAGGCCCGAGCCACGUGAAGACCCGCAAGUCAGGAGACCUGCCGUGACGGUUCACCCUAC
rnacentral:ncRNA from 2 species